GGAGGCGGGGCCAACGGAGGCGGCAGGGCCGGGCGUUGGAGGCGGGGUUGGCGGAGGCGGCGGGGUCUGGCUGUGGCGGAACCGUCCAAAUUAACUUAGCUAAAACACAUUUAAGUCGCCUAACAUGCGAUCAUGUACUUUAAUCAAGUUAACUUGGUAGUCCGUCAGAUUUCAUCCGAUAAACCACUUAACACAGGAUCGAGAAAGCGUAGCUCACACAAAGGUGAGUGGUUCCAG
rnacentral:lncRNA from 1 species